rnacentral:piRNA from 1 species
UGCACAUCCCAUUCUAACUUU